AAAAAGCUAGCGUCAUUGAACUGAACUCUUCCUCUCUCAAACUCUCCAUCGCUCUCAAUCUGUACCAGACCACUCUCACGCUCUCAAACUCGCUCAUACCUAUCUCUCUCAAUCUCACGAUCGCUCUUAACUCAGUCAUCAUCCCUCAAUCUCACGAUCGCUCUUACCUCAGUCAUCAUCCCUCAAUCAAAGCGCGAAAGGAUAAAGAAAAAUGGACAGGACGGCUCACCUUCGACGGUGACGGCGAGCUCAGGUAGUCCUUGAAUCGUCAAAUACUGGUUUCUUGCUUCGAUUUUGGGAUUAGGGUUUGUGUGGUAUCUUUUUCGCCUCCUUAUUUCGUGUUCUCAACUCACUAUUUAUCCCUCACGAAUUAGGGUUUUCAGGUUUGGUCUGGUGGAGUUCAGAAGGGGAAAAUUUCCAGAAACGCUUUUUGUGCUCAGCAUCGAGUUUGUCUUGUUUCAUGCUACAAUCCGGAAACGGUAAUAUGAACUCAAACUUUUCUUUGAAUUUUGUCUCUAUUCCCUUUUGGGAUUUUUUCUGACUUUUAACGCUUUGGUAAUUAAUUGUUACUGCAGUGAAAUUGGUUACAAGUGGACACAUUGAAGAAGCUGAGGAUUUGAUGAAGAUUCCCUCGUGUUUCCAGUUAUCCAUCGCAAACUUUGUGUAUACUUGUUGUAAGUUCAUGUCCUGUUGCACUUGAAAUGUUUGCCUUUAUCUGUUUGAAUUGUGGCUCAAGUUUGGUUCAUGGUAUGCUCGUCUAUCUUGUAGAUAAUAGUGCCAACAAGAUCAAAACUUCCAGGCUGCAAGAAUUUACUGACUGCAAAUAUGUAUGGGAAGGUAGCUUGGGCUGAN
rnacentral:lncRNA from 1 species